CCGAGUGCGGACCCUCUGGGUCCAACCUCCCACCCGUGUUUAUUGUACCUUGUUGCUUCGGUGGGCGUACGCCCGCCGAAGACACCCUUGAACCCUGCCUGAAGAUUGUAGUCUGAGUGGAAUGAUAAAUUAGUUA
rnacentral:misc_RNA from 1 species